CCCUGAAAAUGGAUGGCGCUGAAGCGUCGAGCCUAUACCGGGCCGUCGCCGCAAUACGAGCCCCCAGGGAGCCAUGCGGCGACGAGUAGGAGGGCCGUCGUGGUGAGCGUAGAAGCCCGGCGAGUGAUCGCG
rnacentral:rRNA from 1 species